rnacentral:rRNA from 1 species
GGAAUAUUGGUCAAUGGGCGGAAGCCUGAACCAGCCAUGCCGCGUGCAGGAAUAAGGCCCUAUGGGUCGUAAACUGCUUUUGCGAUGGAGCAAUAAGGUCCACGCGUGGACCGACGAGAGUACAUCGCGAAUAAGCAUCGGCUAACUCCGUGCCAGCAGCCGCGGUAAUACGGAGGAUGCGAGCGUUAUCCGGAUUUAUUGGGUUUAAAGGGUGCGUAGGCGGCGAUGCAAGUCUGCGGUGAAAUGUCGGGGCCCAACCCCGGAACUGCCGUGGAAACUGUGUUGCUGGAGACCGGAUGCCGUGGGAGGAAUGUGUGGUGUAGCGGUGAAAUGCAUAGAUAUCACACAGAACACCGAUUGCGAAGGCAUCUCACGAAUCCGGAUCUGACGCUGAGGCACGAAAGCGUGGGGAUCGAACA